CAGUCGCCGCGGGAAUACGGAAGGUCCAGGCGUUAUCCGGAUUUAUUGGGUUUAAAGGGAGUGUAGGCGGUCUGUUAAGUGUGUUGUGAAAUUUAGGUGCUCAACAUCUAACUUGCAGCGCGAACUGGCGGACUUGAGUGCACGCAACGUAUGCGGAAUUCAUGGUGUAGCGGUGAAAUGCUUAGAUAUCAUGACGAACUCCGAUUGCGAAGGCAGCGUACGGGAGUGUUACUGACGCUUAAGCUCGAAGGUGCGGGUAUCGAACAGGAUUAGAUACCCGCGUAGUCCCUGUCUCUUAUAC
rnacentral:rRNA from 1 species